rnacentral:rRNA from 2 species
GUUGACCUCGGAUCAGGUAGGAAUACCCGCUGAACUUAAGCAUAUCAAUAAGCGGAGGAAAAGAAACCAACAGGGAUUCCCCUAGUAACGGCGAGUGAAGCGGGAACAGCUCAAAUUUGAAAUCUGGCCCUUGGGUCCGAGUUGUAAUUUGCAGAGGAUGCUUUUGGUGCGGUGCCUUCCGAGUUCCCUGGAACGGGACGCCUUAGAGGGUGAGAGCCCCGUACGGUUGGACACCAAGCCUAUGUAAAGCUCCUUCGACGAGUCGAGUAGUUUGGGAAUGCUGCUCAAAAUGGGAGGUAUAUUUCUUCUAAAGCUAAAUAUUGGCCAGAGACCGAUAGCGCACAAGUAGAGUGAUCGAAAGAUGAAAAGCACUUUGAAAAGAGGGUUAAAUAGCACGUGAAAUUGUUGAAAGGGAAGGAUUUAUGACCAGACUUUUUCUAGGGGGAUCAUCCGGUGUUCUCACCGGUGCACUUCCCCUAGUUGAGGCCAGCAUCGGUUUCUGUCGGGGGAUAAAAGCUUCAGGAAUGUGGCUCCCUCCGGGGAGUGUUAUAGCCUGUUGCAUAAUACCCUGACGGGGACCGAGGUUCGCGCAUUGCAAGGAUGCUGGCGUAAUGGUUAUUAAUCACCCGUCUUGAAACACGGACCAAGGAGUCGAACAUUUGUGCGAGUGUUUGGGUGUUAAACCCUCACGCGUAAUGAAAGUGAACGGAGGUGAGAGCCUUUCGGGGUGCAUCAUCGACCGAUCCUGAUGUCUUCGGAUGGAUUUGAGUAAGAGCAUUAAUGUUCGGACCCGAAAGAUGGUGAACUAUGCGUGGAUAGGGUGAAGCCAGAGGAAACUCUGGUGGAGGCUCGCAGCGGUUCUGACGUGCAAAUCGAUCGUCAAAUCUGCGCAUGGGGGCGAAAGACUAAUCGAACCAUCUAGUAGCUGG